GUGCAUGAGCAGCUAGUCUGGCUAGUGUGGGUGCAUGCCUAGUGCUGACACCCUUCUCUGCAAUUGAAGACCAGAUGACCUGCAGCCUUCUUGACCAGAGGGAGGCCAAAGCAGUGCGUUCUCAAGGAGGGAAAUAAACUUUAGCCAUGUAUUUAAGAAUGUGUCUUCCAAGACCCAGUUUUAGGAGAAAAAGCUGGCUCAACUCCAAGCCAGGGGUAUUAGAAAUAUCAGCUGUGUGGUUCAGGUCCCAACAAACUGUUACUGAGAGGGGAGAAAAACGUGGGACUGUGAUGUUACACUUUCCCUUCCCCUUCCCUUUCAUUUUUACUGACGAGGUGAGGGAAGUUAGGCAAUUGUUUGCAAGGUUUGGUGCAGUAAUAGCAUCUUUGCUCAGUCUUUUGAGUAGUAAAACAAAGCAGGGAAAUGAUCUAACCGGUUGUUGGCAAAACCACUGCUAAAUGUUUGUUAUCUAGUCGGUGUCCAAACUUGGUAGAUGUGGAGACGCCAGAGAGGUUAUAGACGGAGAUGGGCGCUACUUCAGUGAAGUCACCAAGAGACAAUUACUCGAUCCCUCCUUAUGGCCGUGUACAAAAUGAAAAGGUAUGUGACACUAAGGCCUUAGUAAGCCAGGGAGUAUCAGAGCAGGUGGAACGGGCAGAAGGCGCGGCUUGUGCCAGCAAGCCUCACGGCCUAGCGCUCCAGAGCCGCCUCUGCAGGGAGAUCCGGAAAGACAUGUCAAGCCUCACGGCCCAGCUGACCGGAGGUCUCCGGCCCAGCCUCCAGCGCAGCCCUGGCCCCAGCCGCAGGAAGCCGCAGAGGUGCGCGGAGACAGCAGGCCCCGGCCCCGCGCUGCCCCCCGAGGUGUCGCUCGCUCACCGCUGCUCGCUCGCCGCGGAGGCCCGGCGCGGCCUGGCCCGCCCCAGCCCUCACCGGGGCCUCGGCCUCCUCCGCGCAGACGCCAGCACGCGAGGGAGCGGUCGUACGGAGAGGAGGNNNNNNNNNNNNNNNNNNNNNNNNNNNNNNNNNNNNNNNNNNNNNNNNNNNNNNNNNNNNNCCCCGGCGCGCGGGCCGGGCCGGGCCGGGCCGGGUGGAGCGAAGAGCAGCGGAGCGCGCCGCAGUCGGCGCCGCGCUGCUCCUGCUCCUUCCGUGCCGGCCCCGCCGCCCUGGACCGCAGGAGGAUAGCAUUGUGUUUAAAAUGGAAGUUGACAUAAACGGAGAGUCCAGAACUACCCUAUCCACCCUCCCUGUGCCUCUUGCAGAGGUGAGUCCUGCAGGCAGGAUGGAAGCAGAGAAGCCCCGCUGUUCCAGUACCCCCUGCUCACCAAUGCGACGGACAGUUGCAGGAUAUCAGAUCCUUCACAUGGAUUCUAACUACCUGGUUGGCUUCACGACUGGAGAGGAGCUGCUAAAAUUAGCCCAGAAGUGUACGGGAAGUGAGGAGAAUAAAGGGGAAUCCGGGCCAAACAUGUGCUCCAGACAGCUUGAUUCAGGACUUGCACGUUCUUCCCGUUUGUACAAAACUAGAAGUAGGUACUAUCAGCCAUAUGAGAUCCCAGCAGUAAAUGGAAGGAGGAGGAGACGGAUGCCUAGCUCAGGGGAUAAAUGCACUAAGGCUUUACCGUAUGAACCUUACAAGGCACUUCAUGGUCCCCUGCCUUUUUGCCUUUUAAAAGGUAAAAGGGCUCAUUCGAAAUCCCUGGACUACCUCAAUUUAGACAAAAUGAGCAUUAAGGAACCUGCUGACACAGAAGUGCUACAAUACCAGCUACAACACCUUACCCUUAGAGGGGACCGUAUGUUUACAAGAAAUAACACAUGAGCUAUCAUCUCAAAUUCAGAACCGAUUUCUGAUUACUUCUCUGUUGCUGCAAAAAUCCACUGUUGUAGUGUGCACAUGACUGUCCACAUUGUAGGUGGUUGUAUCAGCUAAAUAUUACCAGAAGGUAAUUUAUUUGAAUAGAAUCUUGGCAAUGCAAUGUGUUACAAGUACUUAGAGGGAGAAAUCUUUCCUGAGCAAGCAGCUUCUGAUGCAAAUUUGACUGCAACUGGUGGAUAUUUCUUUGGACACCUUUAACAAAAAAAUAGCUUUUGAGUUUGGGGGGUGGGAUUUUUUUUUUUUUUUUUGUACAGAUAGAUCUAGUAUUUACAGUAAUUUAACACCAAAAAAUCAGUGAUGUCUGCUUGGUUGUUCCUAAUUUUGGCUUGAUGUUAGAAACUGCUCUUGGAUAAAUACUCAAGUUUAGGAGGUUUUUGGUUUUACUUUUUGUUCCUGUAUUCUACAGUAAAAAGUAUGUAUUAUUUUUUUACAUCAUGAAGAGGGAAGUGAGCUUGGCUAAAUUGGAUUACUUGCUAUUUAAACAAUCCAGUUCAAACAUUUUCAAAUUACGCUUGCACUGGUGAGAUUCAGUCAUGAAACAAACCUUUGCUACUUGAAUCCUAUUAAAUUAUCUUUUAGUUUCUGCAUGGACGUAAUUGUUCUGCCUCCUCUGUUCUAUAAAACUUGUUCUGGAAAAGUAUCUGGGUUAUUAAAAACAAAGCUUUUGGGGAUUGAAGACUUUUUUUGUUGUUAGUGAGAUUUAUUUUUUACAUUGUUAUGACACACAAACAAGGAUUCACUGCGUAUUCCAGUAAAUACACAGAGUGACUGCAUUGGUAUGUCAGUAACGGUUUUGAUUUGAUUUUAAUUCAUUAUUUCUGUAUCAUGUAUAAUAAAUGGAAGGUGUCAAAUAACUUCAGCAUUGCUUUGGAAAUUCAAUUGAUUUGAGGCACUGAAGACUUGAGGUCUGGAGGACUGAUUUUUUUGAGUGCAAGUGAAGUAUUUCUGUAUCAGCAUUGAAGAGAUGAUCCUGGAUUAUUCAACAGAGUAGCUUGAAUACACUAGCUUACUUUUGUUACUUAAGGAUUUUUUUUAUCUGAACAUGACAUCAGAUGCAGCUUUGACAGCUGUAUUCCUAGAUAUAUUUAAAACACUGUAGUAAAUUAUGUUUAAAAAUGAAAAAUAGUUUUCAGACUUUUUGGUUUUUUAGGUGCAAUCUUCUACUGAAGCAGUGUGCAGCUUGGUUUUGGCUGAUGACCUCUGCAGAAGAAGUUAAAUAAGAUCACAUUGUUUUGAAACAAAUUAUUUGAUCAUUUUUUUCUGGUAGAAUUUAGGGGGGGGUUGUUUGUUUAUUGCACAGAACGAAUAGAAAGCACUAGUUAGUGCAUGCGCUGUGGAAAAUGAAGGGUUCUUCUCAUUCUGUACUUGCAUCACAGUUGUAAAUGAAGGCAGCCCUGUAGUCUGCAUUUUGCUGGUUUGAUUAUCUUUUUUUAGGUUUAUUAGAAUCUCUGCAACAAACUGAUGUGUAUUUUUAAAAGUUAACUACACCUGUGUAAAUUUAAUGUAUUGAACAAUGAUAUUGAAAGUAAAAUGUUCCUAUAUAGUCUUUAGUUUGAAAAACAGAAUAUGGUCAGAUGCCAAAGAGAUGGGGGUUUUGUUUAAGGAAUAAACACCACUGUUUAUUGAAAUACCCUAUGACACUGUAUUUCUGGCUGAAAAAUAAAAAGGGUGGUAUAAACACCUGUUGUUGUGGAGUCUUGCUGUGCAGGAAAAAGGACGUUUGAAAAAUACAACUUUAGACCAGGGAUCAUUUAAAAAUUACUUUCAAGCAGGGAUCUUGGACUUUCUGUGAAAUAGAUUGCUUAGGUUUGUUACUUUAUUUCAGGAAAUGGACCAUGCAAUUGUUAAUAUUUUGUGCAUGUUUCUAAUGUCAUCCUGUGCUGUAAUUGAAUAGCGACACUGAGAGAGAGGCUGAUGGCUAUCUAGCCAAGUUCAAACAUAAAAAAUGUGUUAGUACUGCUUCUGGUGAUUUGCUUGUGAAGGUGCUUACACAUGGUAAUAUUGUUUGCUUGACUCAUACACACUUGCAAUUCUCAUAGCAUAUCAUCAUUCGAGAGCUCAAUGUUUUGCAAGUUUGGUUUGUAAUGUUAUCAGAACUCUUAUAUCCAUAAGGAGUUCCUGAUUUUUACCUCCAAAUUAAGCAAAAUCUCAGCCAAAUGAAAGCUUUUGAUCCUGUCUUAUUUUUUCUGCUUAUAAUGUCUUCCAUUAAACUAGUUUAUUAAAAUCAAAGAUGAGAUGGUUCUUCAGACUACUAAAAUGAAAUUGAAUAUGAACAAUACUAACCUUUCAAAGUGAGUUCUCGCUGUUCUUGUAAUAAAUUAAAAGGGGGAAAAAAGGCAUAAAAAAAAGUGUGUCCUUGGUUUAUGUAUCUUCCAGAGGAUUAAAAGAGUGAAGGUAGAAAUGAUACAGUGUAGUAACACAAAUAUUCCACUUAACAGACCAUUAACACCAAAGCAGAUCUGGAAUCAAGUACAAAUGUGUAAGCUGGGAUAUUGAGGCAGAUCUUAAAUUCAGGCACACUGCUAGCAUUUUUUUAAAAAAAUACACUGAAAAAGGAUUGGAGUGAAAUACAUUCUUUCAGUGUUUUCAUUCUUCAUUUCAGGUAUAAACUUGUAACUACUCCUGUCCUGCAGUGUUACGAUUUGUAUUUACAGCUGUACACAGUACCUAACUGACCUUACGGUUUCCUUUACCUUCUCUUUGUCCAUCUAUUGUAUUCUGACAUAGACUCGCUUCUCUUGGGUGAUGAUCUCUCUGGCUGAGCAUGUUUACUUUAGUGGGGAUUGUUAACUGCAGGCUAGGGCUACUAGACAAUAUUGCAAAAUAAGUAGCAGAUGAGCUUUUAGAAUUUUCUAAAACUGCUCUUCUAGAUGUGGGGUUUUUUUCCAGCUGGAAAGACCAGAAGAAUGGAGAAAGGUUGUUAUUAAACUGCUGAAAAUGCAGAUGUUGCUGUCUGGACAUGGAGAAAGGUUCUCAGUGGUUCAGGGCUUGGAGUAUACAUAAUUUCAUUAUUUUGUGGGCAAGUAAGAGAAGAGGACAAGUGUAAUUUUUAAGAAGAAUUACAAGAGAAGAGCAGAAAGGCUAUAAGCUGGAUAAAAACUUCCACUAUCUACAAUAUCUGCAGAAAUGUCAGCUGGUUAGUUUCAGUAAAGUUAGGUGGUAUCAGGCUGUAUAAUUUGCCUUUGAAGAAAUUAAAAAAGCUGUCCGGAACACACAACUGUGGUCUGAAAAAAAAAAACCUAAAUAUGUUUUCAUUUGGUAAAAUACAGGAUUCAGUUUAAAAAAAGAAAAAAAAGGUCUGAAGGUGAAUACUAACCUAAUAUGAAAUUUAUACAUCAAAUGAAUGUUUGUAGUAGGAAGGGAAAUACUACCUAUAAUACAGACUAAGCAAACAAUUGUUAAUGGGUAACAUAACUGUUGUUUCUAAUUUUCAAUGGUACCAAAGAAUCUAAAACACAAAUUAUCCAACAUAAUAAAAUUUUGAUGUUCUAGAUGUUUGGGAGAGUGGUCUGGCUGAAGUCAGUUACUAAUGUUAAACUUAAAGAGGAAUGUAUGCUAAAGAGAAACAAUAGAAAAAAAUGAUCUUCAGUAAGAAUG
rnacentral:lncRNA from 1 species